rnacentral:rRNA from 1 species
CCUACGGGUGGCUGCAGUCGAGAAUCUUCUGCAAUGGGCGCAAGCCUGACAGAGCGACGCCGCGUGCGGGAUGAAGGCCUUCGGGUUGUAAACCGCUGUCAGUGGGGAGCAAAUGCUAGGGGGUUCUCCCCCUAGUUUGAGCGAACCGCAGAGGAAGCGCAGGCUAAGUUCGUGCCAGCAGCCGCGGUAAGACGAACUGCGCAAACGUUAUUCGGAAUCACUGGGCUUAAAGAGUUCGUAGGCGGCGCGUUAGGUGGGGUGUGAAAUCCCUCGGCUCAACCGAGGAAUUGCGCUCCAAACCGGCGUGCUUGAGGAAGGUAGAGGUGAGCGGAACUGAUGGUGGAGCGGUGAAAUGCGUUGAUAUCAUCAGGAACACCGGAGGCGAAGGCGGCUCACUGGGCCUUUUCUGACGCUGAGGAACGAAAGCCAGGGUAGCGAAC